GACGAACCGUGCGAACGUUGUUCGGAAUCACUGGGCUUAAAGGGCGCGUAGGCGGGCCACCAAGUCUGGGGUGAAAUCUUUCGGCUCAACCGGAAAAUUGCCUGGGAUACUGGUGGUCUGGAGGGUGGUAGGGGCAGGUGGAACUUCCGGUGGAGCGGUGAAAUGCGUUGAUAUCGGAAGGAACGCCGGUGGCGAAAGCGACCUGCUGGACCACUACUGACGCUGAGGCGCGAAAGCCAGGGGAGCAAACGGG
rnacentral:rRNA from 1 species